rnacentral:lncRNA from 1 species
CAAAUUUUAAUAACUUCACCAAUGUGUACAUAAUCAUCAUGAGGUAUACGAUAAGUUUCCGUUUGAAAACGAUUGUAUGUUUAUGUAUACAAUUAUUUGAAUAUAAACAUUGUUUGAACCAUCAUAACAUUUAGAAACAUCGGAAACUUCCAUGUUUGAACUUUUCUGUAAAAAUAAAUUAUAUGAUCUAACAAAAUGGUUUACAUAUUUGUAACUCCUUAUAAUUUGUAAUUUCUGUUUGAAGUAUACCUCAAAUAACUAUUGUAUAUACAAACGUUAUUUUUACCGGUAGUAAAUGAUUGUCAAAAUGAUAACAGCUAUAAAUAUAUAUAGUGUAAAUAAGGAUGAAAAUGUUUUGUUUUUUUUUUCUUUUAGAAUCUAAUGUAUCAAUCUAGAAUAGACCGAAGUCCGUAAACAAUGUUCAUCUUAAAAACAACUAAAUUUUAAAAAGUGCGAAAAACCUUUCUCCAGUAUUCGGCGCGUCGAGAUGUUUUCUGUAAUUUUCAAAUUUAGGAACCAGUAGCUGAGAUCUUCAACCUUACAUCGUGCAUACAAUACAAAUGUUCCAUUUUGAAUAAUGAUAAAGCAUCAUUGAUUAAAUCCUAGUAUGGUAAAGUACAACACAAAGAAGGAACGAAAAUGGUUGUGAAGGCCCUUAAAUGUUAAAAUAAUUUGUGAUAGGACGCAUUGUGUAAGAGCUUUUAUAUGUAAAAAGUAAUUUUAAGACCGUAUCAGUUUAUUCUAUUGUAUUCUUUGCCUUGCUAAACAAACAGUUUAUACAGAUUGAGGCUAAGAGAGGGAAGAGCGAAUACCGGAACUAUAAGCCGUGAUCAUAAGCUUAUACCUAGUGCGGGUAGUACAGAUGUACCGGUUUGGAUAAUGAUUAAUGAUCAUUGAUUGGAUCUUUAUAUGAACAAGGACAUUACAAGGAAGGGAUACUCACUGUUUACUUCCUUUCUAAUUAAAAGAUAAUUCGUGUACUUUAAUCUAAAGGAAAAAAACGUGUCAGAGAUACUAGGUUUAUUUUUUAAUGUGUAACGUCUGAAAGGCGUUAUACUAUCCAGUAGCAUUCGAAUAAAAAUCAUUGGAAAAAAAGUAAAAUCACAAAAAUACUGAACUCAGAGGAAAAUCGAUUCGGAAAGUCCAUAAUCACAUGGCAAAAUCAAAUAACAAAACGCA